UGGUUUACCAGACCCGGAAGGCGCGGGCCUUAGUGGCGGACGGGUGAGUAACGCGUGGGGAACCUGCCCCGUACCGGGGGAUAACACCUGGAAACAGGUGCUAAUACCGCAUAACAGAAGGGGACGCAUGUUCCUUUCUUGAAAACUCCGGUGGUACGGGAUGGACCCGCGUCUGAUUAGCUGGUUGGCGGGGUAACGGCCCACCAAGGCGACGAUCAGUAGCCGGCCUGAGAGGGCGGACGGCCACAUUGGGACUGAGACACGGCCCAAACUCCUACGGAAGGCAGCAG
rnacentral:rRNA from 1 species